GAUGAACGCUGGCGGCGUGCCUAAUACAUGCAAGUCGAGCGAACAGACGAGGAGCUUGCUCCUCUGACGUUAGCGGCGGACGGGUGAGUAACACGUGGAUAACCUACCUAUAAGACUGGGAUAACUUCGGGAAACCGGAGCUAAUACCGGAUAAUAUAUUGAACCGCAUGGUUCAAUAGUGAAAGACGGUUUUGCUGUCACUUAUAGAUGGAUCCGCGCCGCAUUAGCUAGUUGGUAAGGUAACGGCUUACCAAGGCAACGAUGCGUAGCCGACCUGAGAGGGUGAUCGGCCACACUGGAACUGAGACACGGUCCAGACUCCUACGGGAGGCAGCAGUAGGGAAUCUUCCGCAAAGGGCGAAAGCCCGACGGAGCAACGCCGCGUGAGUGAUGAAGGUCUUCGGAUCGUAAAACUCUGUUAUUAGGGAAGAACAAAUGUGUAAGUAACUAUGCACGUCUUGACGGUACCUAAUCAGAAAGCCACGGCUAACUACGUG
rnacentral:rRNA from 1 species